rnacentral:rRNA from 1 species
UACGGGGGGGGCAAGCGUUGCUCGGAAUUACUGGGCGUAAAGGGCGCGUAGGCGGUCCGCUAAGUUAGAUGUGAAAACUCUGGGCUCAACCCAGAGCCUGCAUCUAAUACUGACGGGCUAGAGUUCUGGAGGGGGUAGCGGAAUUCCUGGUGUAGCGGUGAAAUGCGUAGAGAUCGGGAGGAACAUCUGUGGCGAAGGCGACUGCCUGGACCAGCACUGACACUGAGGCACGAAAGCGUGGGGAGCAAACAGG